rnacentral:rRNA from 1 species
UACGUAGGGGGCAAGCGUUAUCCGGAUUUACUGGGUGUAAAGGGAGCGUAGACGGCCUUGCAAGUCUGGUGUGAAAGCCCGGGGCUCAACCCCGGGACUGCAUUGGAAACUGCACGGCUGGAGUGCAGGAGAGGUAAGCGGAAUUCCUAGUGUAGCGGUGAAAUGCGUAGAUAUUAGGAGGAACACCAGUGGCGAAGGCGGCUUACUGGACUGUAACUGACGUUGAGGCUCGAAAGCGUGGGGAGCAAACAGG